AUUGAACGCUGGCGGCAUGCUUUACACAUGCAAGUCGAACGGUAACAGGCCGCAAGGUGCUGACGAGUGGCGAACGGGUGAGUAAUGCAUCGGAACGUGCCCAGUCGUGGGGGAUAACUACUCGAAAGAGUAGCUAGUACCGCAUACGAUCUAUGGAUGAAAGCGGGGGACCGUAAGGCCUCGCGCGAUUGGAGCGGCCGAUGUCAGAUUAGGUAGUUGGUGGGGUAAAGGCUCACCAAGCCAACGAUCUGUAGCUGGUCUGAGAGGACGACCAGCCACACUGGGACUGAGACACGGCCCAGACUCCUACGGGAGGCAGCAGUGGGGAAUUUUGGACAAAGGGCGCAAGCCUGAUCCAGCAAUGCCGCGUGCAGGAAGAAGGCCUUCGGGUUGUAAACUGCUUUUGUACGGAACGAAACGGCUCUGGUUAAUACCCGGGGCUAAUGACGGUACCGUAAGAAUAAGCACCGGCUAACUACGUG
rnacentral:rRNA from 1 species